UAACUGCUUUUUCUCAGUUUCAGAAAUGAUCUUUCUACCUUCUUUACAAGGUUAAAAAGUUCUGUCAUGUGACAAUGCCAUUUCUUCUUCCUGAUAGUGGGAGGUGGGAGUUACAGGACACUGUGCAAACAUACGCAAGCAUUCUCACUCGACCAUGAGGCUUUGAUUAAUCAUUUCUAACGUUUGAGCUACAGACCGCAUGAAUAUUAUCAUCUUGACUACAGAUAUAUUUUGUUCUCAACGGAGGAAUGCUCCAGA